rnacentral:rRNA from 1 species
GGGCCGGGUGUUGGAUAUCCCGGUGCAAGCGUGUAGGAAUAUCCGGUAGGCAAAUCCGCCGGACGAAUCUGAGACGCGAGUCCGUGGGCGCAAGCCCUGAAGCCGUUGAGUCUAUGCUGCCUAGAAAAGCUCCUAAGUUUAUCCACAGCAAUCCGUACCGCAAACCAACUCAGGUGGGUGGGAUGAACAAUCCAAGGCGCUCGAGAGAACUCUGGCCAAGGAACUCGGCAAAAUAACCCCGUAACUUCGGAAGAAGGGGUGCUCUCUAGGGUGACAUGUUUAACAUAUGAAGCCCCGGGGAGCCGCAGUGAAUUGGUGGUGGCGACUGUUUACUAAAAACAUAGGUCUGUGCGAAGUCCUAAAGACGACGUAUACGGACUGACGCCUGCCCGGUGCUGGAAGGUUAAAAGGAGGGGUCAGCGCAAGCAAAGCUCCGAAUUGAAGCCCCAGUAAACGGCGGCCGUAACUAUAACGGUCCUAAGGUAGCGAAAUUCCUUGUCGGGUAAGUUCCGACCUGCACGAAUGGCGUAACGAUCUCCACACUGUCUCGGCCAGAGACUCGGUGAAAUUGCAGUCGCGGUGAAAAUUCCGUGUACCCGCAGAAAGACGGAAAGACCCUGUGAACCUUUACUAUAGCUUGACAUUGGAUUUUGGGCCUGCAUGUGUAGGAUAGGUGGGAGGCUGUGAACCCUGUACGCCAGUAUGGGGGGAGCCAUCCUUGAAAUACCACCCUUGCAUGUUUAAGAUCCUAACUUCUUCCGGUUAUCCCGGAGAAAGACAGUGUCUGGCGGGUAGUUUGACUGGGGCGGUCGCCUCCUAAAGUGUAACGGAGGCAUGCAAAGGUUCCCUCAGCCUGAUCGGAAACCAGGCGCUGAGUGCAAACGCAUAAGGGAGCUUGACUGUAAGAGAGACAUCUCGAACAGGAACGAAAGUUGGCGUUAGUGAUCCGGUGGUCCCGAAUGGAAGGGCCAUCGCUCAUUGGAUAAAAGGUACGCCGGGGAUAACAGGCUGAUCGCAUCCAAGAGUUCACAUCGACGAUGCGGUUUGGCACCUCGAUGUCGGCUCAUCACAUCCUGGGGCUGAAGCAGGUCCCAAGGGUACGGCUGUUCGCCGUUUAAAGUGGUACGCGAGCUGGGUUUAAAACGUCGUGAGACAGUUUGGUCCCUAUCUUCUGUGGGCGAAGGAGAAUUGAGAGGGCCUGUCCCUAGUACGAGAGGACCGGGAUGGACGCACCCCUGGUGAUCCUGUUGUCGCGCCAGCGGCAUAGCAGGGUAGCUAUGUGCGGAAGGGAUAACCGCUGAAAGCAUCUAAGCGGGAAGCCUGCCUCAAGAUAAGUUCUCCCCUCGAAAGAGCUGAAGGGCCCGGGUAGACUACCCGGUCGAUAGGCUGGAGGUGUAAGCGCGGCGACGUGCUCAGCUGACCAGUACUAAUAGCCCGAGCGGCUUAUUU